rnacentral:lncRNA from 1 species
GGGAGGGGAGCUUGUGAUCGAUUGGGCACGUCAAUUGGCAAGGUGCCAGCUUGGUGUUGUAUGAAAACUUUUUUUUUUGGCUUUCUUUCUUUUUUCUUCUUUUAUUUCUUUUCCUUCUCUAUAAGUACCAAGGGCCCCCCACUCCCACAUCAAUUUCGAAAUUGAGGAAGAAAAAAAUUAUAUUUUUUUUGUUGGUUGCUGGAAUUUUGAGCGGAAAACUUUGUUUGUAUUGAAGUUUUGGGGAGAAAGUGUGAUAGUUUUAAGAUAUGUUUUUAUUGUUU